UACGUAGGGUGCAAGCGUUGUCCGGAAUUAUUGGGCGUAAAGAGCUCGUAGGCGGUUUGUCGCGUCGAAUGUGAAAACCUGGGGCUCAACCCCGGGCCUGCAGCCGAUACGGGCAGACUAGAAUUCGGUAGGGGAGACUGGAAUUCCUGGUGUAGCGGUGAAAUGCGCAGAUAUCAGGAGGAACACCGGUGGCGAAGGCGGGUCUCUGGGCCGAUACUGACGCUGAGGAGCGAAAGCGUGGGGAGCGAACAGG
rnacentral:rRNA from 1 species